rnacentral:misc_RNA from 1 species
GUGCCCGUCCACCGAACGGUCGGCAGGCGAUCCGCGUCGGUCGUGCUGGGUGGUAUGGUUCCCCAGAGGCCGGUUCUUGUGCUGCCUACCCCUUCAGGGGAAGCGGGCCGCUUGAUGCAAGCCUCCAUCCCGCACCCUCCAACGGGCGCAGGAGGACAACCGAGCACCCCCCGCAUUCCACCGAGCCUCCUCGGUCGCGUGGCGCGCGGGGACGUGCGAUGCUCUCGGACCCAGCGAACGCCGUGGGCGAGGACUCACGUCCCAGUCCCGAUAGAAGCUCCCACAUAAUGUAUGACGGCCGCUCCCGUCCCCCGACCGCCCCGGCGGCGCGGGGGCGAGGCGCGGCGUCGCGGAGGAAUGCU